rnacentral:rRNA from 1 species
AGAAUGACUCUCGGCAAAGGAUGUCUAGGCUCUCGCAUCGAUGAAGAACGUAGCGAAAUGCGAUACUUGGUGUGAAUUGCAGAAUCCCGUGAACCAUCGAGUCUUUGAACACAUGUUGCGCCCAAAGCCAUUUGGUCGAGGGCACGCCUAUCUAGGCAUCACGC